GACGAACGCUGGCGGCGUGCUUAACACAUGCAAGUCGAACGAAGAGCGAUGGAAGCUUGCUUCUAUCAAUCUUAGUGGCGAACGGGUGAGUAACGCGUAAUCAACCUGCCCUUCAGAGGGGGACAACAGUUGGAAACGACUGCUAAUACCGCAUACGAUCUGACCUCGGCAUCGAGGAUAGAUGAAAGGUGGCCUCUACAUGUAAGCUAUCACUGAAGGAGGGGAUUGCGUCUGAUUAGCUAGUUGGAGGGGUAACGGCCCACCAAGGCGAUGAUCAGUAGCCGGUCUGAGAGGAUGAACGGCCACAUUGGGACUGAGACACGGCCCAGACUCCUACGGGAGGCAGCAGUGGGGAAUCUUCCGCAAUGGACGAAAGUCUGACGGAGCAACGCCGCGUGAGUGAGGACGGCCUUCGGGUUGUAAAGCUCUGUUAAUCGGGACGAAAGGCCUUUUUGCGAAUAGUGAGAAGGAUUGACGGUACCGGAAUAGAAAGCCACGGCUAACUACGUG
rnacentral:rRNA from 1 species